ensembl:lncRNA
UUUUUUUUUUUUUUUUUUUUUUUUUUGGCAGUAUGGCAUUUACAGAAUACACAUAAAGAUCUUCAGAUCUUACUGGAUAGGAUAAAUAGUUCAUAUUUUGAGAGGAAGAGUUGACAAAGUAGGAAGAAAGAGGCCAAGUAGGAAGAAAGGCUAAGCUUGGAGAUUUAUUUCUUGAUCUCAGGAAAUAAUUAUCUCCUUGUAUAAUUUUCUGGCAUAAAUAGAAAACAUUAUGUAGUGUUUUGAACACUGCAUUUUAUUUUGGAUGCUGAAAAUGAGGCAGAGAUUGACAACAUUAGGGAGAAGCUCAUUGAUGAACAAUAAAAAUGGCUAAGAAGAGAGAGAGAAAUUAAAAAGAAAGUCAUUCCCUAUAAUUUAAUCAAGUGAUAAUUUCAGGAGAGGAUUAAAGGCUUACACAAGCCCUAAAGAUGGAAACACGAGCAAUGCAAUGAUUUAGAGUAUUAAAGGACAGCAAGCAGAUGGUCAUAAGAGAAUGCACUGACAUGAAAUUAAUGAAAAUACCACUUCAGAGUAACCUGUGAGAGCAGGAUUUUCUAGGCAGUGGAAUAAUGUCCAGAAAAGGUAACACAAAUGUCACCAUUCACAGCAUUUAAAGCCAGACUGGACAAAAGAAAGAGUCAGUGGACAGGAAAGGAAAGGUCACUGGGGCUAUUAGGACUGGAUCAUUUUCGCUUGGGUCUACCAUUACUGUUUAAAAAAAAAAAAAAAUACAGAAUAUUUCAACAGUGUAUUUCAACAGAAAGACCUCCCUACUGCGUCUUCAUUCAUGCAGUAGAUUUUGGGGGUGUCAUGGUAAGGAAGGAGACUAAUCUGUAGCCCCAAGAUGUGAGCAAGAAUCCCUUUUCUGACUUUGGUGGAAUUAGGGAAAACCCAAAGAAAAUUGCCUCAUGAGACAGAAAACCUCCUAAGGCAGAUGGCAGCUUUUGUGUUAUGUCUAACCUUGUCACAGACAAGAAGAAUUUGCUACUGAUACAUCAGGAGCUGAGUAGAGCAAAUGUGACAGAAGAAGGCAGGUGAAUUUUCUUCUCUGCUUUUGCUGAAUCAUUUCUUUUCUGUGAUCCACAUUUUCUGGGAUGCCAAAACGAUCAGCAAAUUCAAGCUGAACUUGCUGAAUAACUUCACAUGAAAUAAGACAAAGGGGAAAGAGGCCGUGUCAGUAGGGGGAAGAGUGGUACACUUCCUGUUUUUACUGGUAAGCUCAUCUCCUAAACAGGAUGGUAAGGGAAGCCUGGAGGCACUGAAGUGCUACAGCAGGAGCAGCCAGCCACCCUCCUUCCCCAAACGCAUCCCCUUGGCACCCACAGCAUCAGCCUCGGCUUUGAGCCCACAUUGCUUCCAUUCCCAAAGCUUCUGAGCUUAGUCACCAGACUGAGCUACCCUGAACUAGGCUACUGCUGGUCUUCCUGGCUGAGGCUGUCCCUGUCCCACUUUGCACUGACAUGCAGAGGAGGAGAGAAAUAAACUUCUUUGUCACUUGGACCUCAUGUGACAAAGUUCUCAGCAGCAAUGAGAACAUUAAGUAUUGUUGCUUUCUCACAGCUGGCUCUUGCACUUGCACCAUCACACUGUGAACCAGGGCAGGGAAGCAGAGACAUGGCUUAAAAAUAAUUUGCCAGAAGAUAAGCUGUGCUUUAAAAACCCCAUAGAUUUUUCAAUGUGCUUCUUAACCCAGAUGCCCAGAGACCUGUGCCAUCACAAGCAGGAACGGGGGAAAAAAAGAUGACAGAAGAUAAAGAAAAGACUCUACCAAAGAUAUGGGGGAAGGGGUAUUGCUGUUUCUCCACUCAGAAAAAGAAGUUUAACCAUGGCAAUUAUAAAGCAAAGUUAUAGGAACCCAGGAAACGUGAUGACAGGAAAGUGUAUGGUCCAGCAGACAGGUGUAAAAAGAGAAGACAUUGUCCCCUUACACCAAGAGCCCUGAUGUUGUGGGCUGGUGCUGGAAAAGAAUGAUAAACAUCACAAGCAAUUAGGUAUUACACAUUUAUAUUCCUCUUACAGCUGAGCAAAUGGUCUGGUCUCCUUUCAGCUUCUGCAGCUUCUACCAAAAUUCAGUGUGAGCCCCCCAGUGCAAGUAAAGUGCUUUUUAGGAAGAGUGACAAAGAAAAUUAGUAUUUCCUGAGGAAAAGCCCAGUCCCUGCUGCUUUGUGUUAUAUUUUUAUAUAUGCAGGCUCACGUGCAUAGUCCUCAUCUCCUGACCUGCAGUAAAGACUGAAUUAAAAGUCAUGGCUGGCAGUCAGAGGUGGCAGCCCUUCAGAGACAGGCCAAGCCAAAUUGUAUUAAACCAGAGCACAGAGCACCCUGAGCCUGACCUGUCAAGUGUUAUCACACUCAUCUUCCUGCAGAAAGGCCGGGCUUCAUAACUCACAUCAGGUGGUGGCUCUCAGGUCCUGUACAUCUAUGCCCUGAGCAAGUGAGCUGGUUUCGUUUUUGUCACAGGUCUUUUGUUUUUUUGGCAAGAACUGCUGGAGUUAAAUGCUGUUAGCACAUCAGCAGGCUUGUCACUCCCUCCCUGUCACAUCAAUCAGAGUCUCUGUGGACCCAGGCUGCCUUGCCAUGCAUCACAAGAACAGCAAAUUCCUUCCCCUUUCAUGGCUCAUCCCCGUUGUGAAUGAGUUGUUCUCCUACAACUGCAGGAAGGCAGGGGACAGGAGCCACUGAGCCCCACCAUGCACAGGAGCAGCUCGAGGUGUUGCAGGACAAGGGGGUUAGUGAAGCCACAUCUUUCAUUAUGUCUGGCUUUGCAAUCAAGGCUGAUUCCAGACAGUAUAGUUAAUCUAUGCUCCCUGGAUCUCAGCUGGAAGAAAAUGGAUUAGCUUUGCUCACUUGACUGAAGCCAUGGCAAUUUACCCUUGCUGAGCAUCUGACUCUUAUCCUGGCCAUCAGUUACAUCAUGUGUUUCAGCAUAUAGCACAAAAGCAUCAUUUUUCAAGCUGACCAGGCAUCAAACAUGGCUCUUUGGAUGGAGAGAGGCAGAGAGAUGAAUCCAGGAAGUAGCAUUUCAAUGUGCUGUGAGAUAAAGGGAGAAAAGAAAACCCUGUGUAACCUCAUGUGUAAAACAUCCCCCAUCUCCCACCCCAGCACCAGCAGCUGAGGCACCUUUCCAACCAGCACAGCAGGCAGCUCCCACAGUGAGGGCAAGCCAGCAUAGAUCCUGGCUGUGGCAGAGAGAUGAUAAACAGUACUGCAGGGCACACUGCAGGGAACAUGGGAGGCUGUAAAUUAAGGUCUUCCUAAUUAGAAAGCAGUCAGAAGCACACAAGCACACACAGAUUGCUGGUCUGGGGUAAGCUGCUCUUCUACAGGUUACAGUAAUGCUAAAAGGCAAAGCAUCACAAAGGAGAUGGCAAAGGACAGAGCAGUGGAUGAAGCAGCAGGUGCUUGCACAGCACUGCCAGCUGCAGAAAGCCAUGAGUAAGGGCCAAAGAAGAGGCCAGAGUCGGAAAAUGACAGAAAUAUAUCAACAAAUGUUCUUGCAAUUACAGGAGCAAUUCUGAACUGUGAUAAAGAUUAUUAGGAAAUGAGGGAAGGUGUCAGGAUAUGAAGCAAAGUGUUAGCAUAUUGUGCCUAGAAAGUCCACAUGUCUGGGGCUCUGUGAAAAAUAAGUGUGCAAUUGUCAGGUAAGAAAGAAGAAAGUUUUCAGUGUGGUAAAUCCCUCCAGCAAAAGAACAAAGGAGUGGAAUUAUGGAGAUCCGGUGGUUCCUAGCUGGAGGUGCAGUGCUAAACCAAACUCAACACCCUAGUGAGGACAGGGAGGAGGGAUGCACACACCUUUUUGGUAUUAAAAAAAAAGGCAGCCUUAGCUGCAAAGGUGAAGAUGUUUUCUGUGAUGUGCAGGUACUAAAUGUUCUAGUGGAGAAAGAAGAGUGUCCUCCCCAGACACCCUUCUUGGGAAUGCUGUGAAUGGCUGUGAUGCUGCGCCCUCUCCACAUCACACCUCACAUUCAGCCCUUGUGAGGACUCAGAUGCAAACAGAAGAGAGCAAAGCAAAAUCUCUCAGGGGAAAUGGCAGGGAUCCCGUGAAAAACUGGCUUGGAUAAAGUAUUCAAAACUGCUCGAUAGCAAAAGACCAAAUAGGACCUAAUAUUCUCCUAAUGAGGCAAUUUAACUGCCUCUUAUUCUAUGUCCUUUGCAUUGUGCUCUCCCAGCAUAGAAGUUCAAAGGGUUGUCACAACAGGCCCUCAAAGGAUGGGUUUUUUAAUGAGUGGGAUUUCUUAGGGAGUCAGUAUGGGGCAGAUUUGCUGAGGAGAAGAGGAGAAAGGAAAACGUAGGAUACACUGCAAAAUUGGUCAUCAAGCUGGGUAAUUCACUGUGCUGUAUUGCUGUCUACUGUAAAACAGCAC